AGCGGCGGACGGGUGAGUAACGCGUAGGAAUCUACCUAGUAGAAGGGGAUAGCCCGGGGAAACUCGGAUUAAUACCGUAUACCUCCUUUGGGAGAAAGAAGGCCUCUCUUUGAAGCUUUCGCUACUAGAUGAGCCUGCGUAAGAUUAGCUUGUUGGUGAGGUAAAGGCUCACCAAGGCAACGAUCUUUAGCGGGUCUGAGAGGACGAUCCGCCACAUUGGGACUGAGACACGGCCCAGACUCCUACGGGAGGCAGCAGUGGGGAAUAUUGGACAAUGGGCGCAAGCCUGAUCCAGCCAUACCGCGUGUGUGAAGAAGGCCCUAGGGUUGUAAAGCACUUUAAGUUGGGAAGAAAAGUUAUUGAUUAAUACCCAAUAACCGUGACAUUACCUUCAGAAUAAGGACCGGCUAAUUCCGUGCCAGCAGCCGCGGUAAUACGGAAGGUCCAAGCGUUAAUCGGAAUUACUGGGCGUAAAGCGCGCGUAGGUGGUUUAUUAAGUUGGAUGUGAAAUCCCCGGGCUCAACCUGGGAACUGCAUCCAAAACUGAUUCACUAGAGUACGAUAGAGGGAGGUAGAAUUCACAGUGUAGCGGUGGAAUGCGUAGAUAUUGUGAAGAAUACCAAUGGCGAAGGCAGCCUCCUGGAUCUGUACUGACACUAAUGUGCGAAAGCGUGGGUAGCGAACAGGAUUAGAUACCCUGGUAGUCCACGCCGUAAACGAU
rnacentral:rRNA from 1 species